rnacentral:rRNA from 1 species
GACGAACGCUGGCGGCGUGCUUAACACAUGCAAGUCGAACGGAAAGGCCCUGCUUUUGUGGGGUGCUCGAGUGGCGAACGGGUGAGUAACACGUGAGUAACCUGCCCUUGACUUUGGGAUAACUUCAGGAAACUGGGGCUAAUACCGGAUAGGAGCUCCUGCUGCAUGGUGGGGGUUGGAAAGUUUCGGCGGUUGGGGAUGGACUCGCGGCUUAUCAGCUUGUUGGUGGGGGAGUGGCUUACCAAGGCUUUGACGGGUAGCCGGCCUGAGAGGGUGACCGGCCACCAUGGGCCUGAGAUACGGCGCAGACUCCUACGGGAGGCAGCAGUGGGGAAUCUUGCACAAUGGGCGGAAGCCUGAUGCAGCAACGCCGCGUGCGGGAUGACGGCCUUCGGGUUGUAAACCGCUUUCGCCUGUGACGAAGCGUGAGUGACGGUAAUGGGUAAAGAAGCACCGGCUAACUACGUG